rnacentral:miRNA from 1 species
AGAAGUGAAUGUGUUGUUAGCU